rnacentral:tRNA from 1 species
GCCGCUAUCCCGAUGGACGGGUCCCUCUUUCGUAAUGAGGUCUUCGUGAGUUCGAUUCUCACUGGCGGCU